rnacentral:tRNA from 1 species
GAGGGUAUAGCUCAGUGGUAGAGGGUGUGCUUAGCAUGCACAAGAUCGUGGAAUCAAUCCCCGGUGCCUCCA